AGUAUAAGCAACUAUACGGUGAAACUGCGAAUGGCUCAUUAAAUCAGUUAUCGUUUAUUUGAUAGUACCUUACUACUUGGAUAACCGUGGUAAUUCUAGAGCUAAUACAUGCUAAAAACCCCGACUUCGGAAGGGGUGUAUUUAUUAGAUAAAAAACCAGCGCCCUUCGGGGCUCCUUGGUGAUUCAUAAUAACUAAACGAAUCGCAUGGCCUUGCGCCGGCGAUGGUUCAUUCAAAUUUCUGCCCUAUCAACUUUCGAUGGUAGGAUAGUGGCCUACCAUGGUAUCAACGGGUAACGGGGAAUUAGGGUUCUAUUCCGGAGAGGGAGCCUGAGAAACGGCUACCACAUCCAAGGAAGGCAGCAGGCGCGCAAAUUACCCAAUCCCGACACGGGGAGGUAGUGACAAUAAAUACUGAUACAGGGCUCUUUUGGGUCUUGUAAUUGGAAUGAGUACAAUUUAAAUCCCUUAACGAGGAACAAUUGGAGGGCAAGUCUGGUGCCAGCAGCCGCGGUAAUUCCAGCUCCAAUAGCGUAUAUUAAAGUUGUUGCAGUUAAAAAGCUCGUAGUUGAACCUUGGGCCUGGCUGGCCGGUCCGCCUCACCGCGUGUACUGGUCCGGCCGGGCCUUUCCUUCUGGGGAGCCGCAUGCCCUUCACUGGGCGUGUUGGGGAACCAGGACUUUUACUUUGAAAAAAUUAGAGUGUUCAAAGCAGGCCUUUGCUCGAAUACAUUAGCAUGGAAUAAUAGAAUAGGACGUGCGGUUCUAUUUUGUUGGUUUCUAGGACCGCCGUAAUGAUUAAUAGGGAUAGUCGGGGGCAUCAGUAUUCAAUUGUCAGAGGUGAAAUUCUUGGAUUUAUUGAAGACUAACUACUGCGAAAGCAUUUGCCAAGGAUGUUUUCAUUAAUCAGUGAACGAAAGUUAGGGGAUCGAAGACGAUCAGAUACCGUCGUAGUCUUAACCAUAAACUAUGCCGACUAGGGAUCGGGCGAUGUUAUCAUUUUGACUCGCUCGGCACCUUACGAGAAAUCAAAGUCUUUGGGUUCUGGG
rnacentral:rRNA from 1 species